CGCAUUCGCGUUAUUUGCAUGCAAAGGUGUUUAGGAUUUUGCAUUUAAACUUGUAAAGUGUCGAAUCCACGACUUCAUGAAGUGAAACAUGCAUUCUUUUUAAUGGGACCCCAACAGUGUCAUUAUUCCAGCAUGUUUUGAUUACGUUUAGGACAAUCACUAAGUUAAGAUAAAUGCUGAAUUCAUGCGGAUAACAACAGUGCGACUCCUGACCAAGUUCUUGGGGCAGCUGGAUGGAUACGCGGUAAACCUACAUAAGGUUUUCAAAAGCAAAGGAGGUGCUUCUGGACAG